GAUGAACGCUGGCGGCGUGCCUAAUACAUGCAAGUCGAGCGAACAGACGAUAGUUCUGGCACUCUCUGACGUUAGCGGCGGACGGGUGAGUAACACGUGGGUAACCUACCUAUAAGACUGAGAUAACUUCAGGAAACCGGAGCUAAUACUGGAUAAUAUUGAGCUUCGCAUGAAGCAAUAAUGAAAGACGGUUCUGCUGUCACUUAGAGAUGGACCAGCGGUGUAUUAGCUAGUUGGUGAGGUAACGGCUCACCAAGGCAACGAUACAUAGCCGAACUGAGAGGGUGAUCGGCCACACUGGGACUGAAACACGGCCCAGAGUACUACGGGAGGCCGCAGUAGGGAAUCUUACGCAAUGGACGAAAGUCUGACGGAGUAAUGCCACGUGAGUGAAGAAGGUUUUCGGAUCGUAAAACUCUGUUGUAAGUGAAGAACAAGUACGUUCGUAACUGAACGUACCUUGACGGUAACUUAUAAGAAAGCCACGGCUAACUACGUG
rnacentral:rRNA from 1 species